rnacentral:rRNA from 1 species
UAUGUAGGGUGCGAGCGUUAAUCGGAAUUACUGGGCGUAAAGCGCGUGUAGGCGGCAGCGCAAGUCGGGCGUGAAAUCCCACGGCUCAACCGUGGAAGUGCACUCGAAACUGCGCAGCUAGAGUCCUGGAGAGGAAGGUGGAAUGCUUGGUGUAGAGGUGAAAUUCGUAGAUAUCAAGCGGAACACCGGUGGCGGAGGCGGCCUUCUGGACAGUGACUGACGCUGAGACGCGAAAGCGUGGGGAGCAAACAGG